GUUGGUUUUGGUUAGUUUAGGUUAUAAUAAUCUUUGGGCUAUGAAUGUUAUGUUUGUUGUUUUGAGAUUAUGAAAUAAGACAAUUAUUACGUUUUACUGUUAGUUUAUGAUUUGUGUGAAAUGUGAAGUGAUAGAAUUUCGACAUAAAAAUGAUGGUAUGCUCGGUUACGACUUCUGUUUGGAAUUGAAAGAGGAAUGAAUUAUUGCAGACACCAGAGACAGGGAAGUUUUCUCUGAAGACAGUUCCUGAAAGAAAAAUUGAUGUUUUAGUAUGGGACUGAGGAUGGCACAUUUCGAAAUUAUUUGGUAUUUGAGUGCCUCAGACACAGCCUAUUUCUGUUUCUGUGAGGUUGGUCUAGAGAUAUAUCUUUAAUUUAUAUCUGGAACUUAGCAAGGGAUGUUGAAUUCGCAUUUUUAGUCAUUUUUGGAAGAUAGAGAGGUUUGCUUAGGAAGACUUCUUGUUCGUUGAAACAUUUCUCGUCCAUAGUUUCAAAAUUGCAGCCCUUUGGUGUGGUUAUUAAGAAAAUUUUUUUUAGAGCAGCAAUGUUAGUCCUUCUACAGACCAUGCAAAUUUAUAUUCCAAAAGGAGAGACUGCUAUGACUCUGGCAUUAUCAUUUUGUCGAAUGAAAUUCUUCUCAAUUUGAACUAGAUGAUAUUGGCAUGAAUGAGGGAAUUUCUUCAGUUGGUAAAAUCAAUCUUUCACUUUGGACCCAUCAACUAAUUUAUCAUUUUGGAAUAAUAUGUUGAGUGCAUAUUAACACAAGAUGAAGAGGUGUAGUGAUACUGUCUAAUAAUUGUAUUAUACUUGUUGGGAUCGAGUGUGAUGUUGGUGGUAAGGAUAGGGAAUCAAACCAUAUUAUUUUAUCCUUUUUAUAUUUAUAGAGUAACAACACUGUUUUAUUACUUUAACAUGGUCAACAAAAAUGCUCUAUUUAUCCUAA